AUUCCAGUCUCCCGCCAAGUUUCCUGCUCAAUCUUCUCCAGCAAACUGUUUGGAGAUGGAAAGACAGCAGCUCAGUGCUUUGACUCUCCCUGGCCCUGCAGACAGAGGAGCAGAAGGUGGCAGAGCUUACAGCAGGCUGAAGAGUUCCCUGUAGUUCUCAUCACCUUUUCCUUCGGACACCAGGCUGUCCAGCUUAUCAAUCAACUCGGCUUCCACCUGGAGGAAAAGGGAUCAAAUCAAUCACUCAGACACACUUUCAAUGAACCAGUACCUCUGGUAAACUGAAUCCUGUCCCACAACAGAACAUCCAUCACCACUGGGCUGCUGUGGUGGUUCUGCUGGGAGGUAACUGAUUUCCCACACCCAGGCAUCGUUAUAUUGUAAGAUUAUUUGUUCAUUAAACCCUGUUUUGUCAAGCCUCUCUAUGCCUACAUGACACAUUUGCUUUUCACACUCAUAUAAAGGGCCACAACAGCAUUACUAUGUUUCUCUUAUUUUAGAAAUGUUUUGAAUACAUAUUAAUUCCCACCCUAAAUCUAAUACAUCCUAUUAUCAAGUUUGAUAUCAGAUAUUCUCAUAAAAUUGAUUCAAGUGCAGAAAUCAAUGUAUCUAACAUUAAACAAAACAAUUUCAAGUAGUCUGGGAAAUGCUGCAGAAAAAACACUUUCAGUACAAAUGAAGACAGAAGUUCCCAAAGGCUGAAACCAUGUGCAGGAACACGGUUUGUUUUUAUUUAAAGACAAGCAUAGUUUGAGCUUCUCUAUGUUUUUCAGCUGCCAAAUUGCAAAAGAAGUAAAGAUGAGAAGGAAAAGCAGUUCACCCAGUGGCACACAAAUGGAGUUGGUGCUCUUGCUGCUGAAAUCAUUAAAGGGAGACCAGACUUCAUCCCUGAAUCAGACUGCAUUGUUAUCCAGCCUCGCUGAGAAUCAACCUUGUUAAAACAUGAGCUACUGAAGAAAAUAAAAAAGGCUUGAAAAUUAA